UACGGGGGGGGCAAGCGUUGUUCGGAAUUACUGGGCGUAAAGGGUCUGUAGGUGGCCAACUAAGUCAGACGUGAAAUCCCUCAGCUUAACUGGGGAACUGCGUCUGAUACUGGUUGGCUUGAGUGCAGGAGAGGAAUGCGGAAUUCCAGGUGUAGCGGUGAAAUGCGUAGAUAUCCGGAGGAACACCGGUGGCGAAGGCGGCAUCCUGGACCGAGAUUGACGCUGAUGCGCGAAAGCCAGGGGAGCAAACGGG
rnacentral:rRNA from 1 species